CCACACUGCAACUGCUUUUAGCGCAGGAGCCGGAAGAGGCCGGCGCAUACGGGCCCUGGCUGAGGCCGUCGCGCUGAGGGGUCUUGGAGGGGUCCUGCGACCGGUUCGAGGACGGGCUUGGCCUGGAUUUCUCAUCUGCUUUUAUGAGAGUUACCACGUUACCUUGUCCACAUUUGCUCCCUUGCGACGUCGGUGUCUGCGGAUUGUUGAACCCUGGACUCUGUUCUAGUGAAAACCUGCCCGCCCUCUGUUCUGAUAGGGAUGAGUGAGGUUCUGGCGUGCCGGGCAUCAUCCUAUACAAAAAAAAAAUGCCGCAUAAGUAGUAUCUAAUAUACAUUUAAUUAAUAAGAUUAUACAAUUUAAUGGUCCCCAGCAAGCUCAGUUCUCUAUACAAACUUAGUUACGCUCUCAUUUUGAAACGACUAGGCAAUCUAGAUCAAUCUAGGCUCUGAAACUUUGUACGUACAAUAGGAUAAUGUGUAUCUAGUCUAGUAAUAAAUAAUACUUUAGUUUGCAUUAAUAUUUUCAAUGAAUUGUAUUUUAUAAUUGUUGAUAUGCUUGUUUUUGCAUGUAUGUAAAUUCCAUGUUGACGUGUAAAAGUGCCCUUGUGGCCUAUUUGCUGAAUAAAUGUUGAAGUUGAAAAUGUAUGUAGCUUCAGAUACCAUAGUUAAAAAUAUACACCGAAUUUAAGUUUUUCACACAAAACAAGUUUUUGCUUUAUUUCGUUUGUUAUAAAAACUAAUUACAGGGGUGGCUUAUACUGAAAGUCCCCCAAGACCCUUCUCUUCUACUACCUCUUCAUAUCACUAUUGAAGGCAGCAGCUUUUUUUUUUGUAUACUCUUUACUGUCUCCAUGUUUAUGUAUAUUGUAUCUUACUUUAAUAAAUACAUAUUUCUACUAAAAAAAAUAAAAAAAUACAUGGGUGGCUUGUUUGAAUAGUUUU